GAAUGUAGUUUAGCGUUGGAAAGCAAGGUGCGCGCGUUUGUGUGCUAUACAUUUAACUAAUACAUAGUAAAUCGCUAAAACUAUUUGAUUUCAAUUAAUGGCAUUUUAAAUUAAAAAAAUUGAAAAAUAAAGAAAGUGAAAAAAAAAUUUAAUAAAAGUGAGUUAUGUGAAGAAAGUGAAAGAUUGGUAAAGUGGUGUAGGUGAAAGGUUUGAGCAGUGGCUGCGCUGUGCUGAAGUCAUACGCGCAGGAACAACUAAGCAAAAAAACUAAGCAAGAAAGUGCAAAAAAGGAGCGUACACGAAAUCAGGAAAGCAAGUGGAAAGAAAUCCUGCAAAAGAAUUUACAAUUUUCUAUGCUUCCACAGAACAAAAAUAAAAGCGUGCGAAAAAGUUUCAAACGGUUUACUCCAACAUCGCAGCGCUAAAUAAGUGUGCGCGAAGAAAUAAAAAUAAAAAUUACAAACAGGAUAAAAAGGAGCUAAAAAUUAAAAUCUAAUUUGAAAAAGAAAGGCGUCCUCGAACCCAACUUACUGUUUGACAGAAGCAGUGAAAACGUAAGCGGUAGUGUAAAAUGAAACUGUCACAAGAACUCUUUUCACAAUUUUUGCUGCUCUGCUUUGCUGCUAAAAGCAGAAAAUGGAUUAAAAGCGGAUUUUGGUCUCUCGAAAGUUGUCACGACGUCAAAGCUUAGAUUGUAGCAGAUUCGUUUUUCGACUUUUGGAAGUGCUAGUUACAUGGAAUAUAAAACUCGACUUGCGAGGGUCGGCGAGUUUUGGUACAUCGCACAGUGGCCAGAGAGGCCAUGUUCUAUAUGAAAAAUUAGGACUAUUACGUUUUUUUAAUAAAACUGUAGGUUCAUAGUAUUAUUGUCAUGCUAAAUCCAAAUAUGUCAUCAACGGAAAUUACACACGGAAAUGGUGCAACGGAAAUGGUUGGGGCGGAAACAAGUGAUUCUUGA